CCUUCCUCGACUAAAUAUUUACGAUCACACCAAAGCAUCCCCCUAGAAGAGAAGUUGUUUCUAAAGAACCUUCAUAACUGCAACUUAACUACAGGCCGAAUGAUGCACAUCAUGUCGGAUUUCUAUGGCACGGAGCUGAUUGUUCCUUAUACUACCAAGCGCAUCACAAACCUAAAGUCAAGCUUGAACAGAAAUGCAACUAAAGAAGGUGAUAUGAUUGAGACGGUUGCCUACUUCAAAGAUAUACAGAAGACAGAUCCAGAAUUCUUCUACAAGGUCAAGUAUGAUGCAGAAGACAAGGUUGAUAAUAUAUUCUGGGUUGAUGGACCAGCACGAAAAGCGUAG
rnacentral:rRNA from 1 species